GGACCAAUAGCCUGGCUCCAUGCCUCUCUGUCCUGGGACACACACCUUAGUGAGGCAUUUUGGUUACUAAGUGCAACUGUGCCCAGUAGGUGAGUGAGCUUUUCCAGGCUGCUCAGGAUAAAAGGGAUGGGAGGUUAUAUAAACCCAGUUUGAAAAUUUUUGAAAAUUCGGGAUUCCCUCCUUGACCCAUUCCUGAGCAUGAUGUAUCUUUCUGGUUAAGUUAUAUAAAACCGUUUUUUGAUGAAAAUGCUUUUGUCCCUCUUGCAUACAACCCUUCCAGGUGAGAGGUCUGGAUGACAGCAGGGGAUGGUUUUUAAAAUGUAAAGUUAUGAUGGCUGAAUGCGACACACCGAUUUUGAAACAACAGAGAGAUGACAGAAACCCUAGUACCCUGGGAGGUGCAGGGGAGCAGUGAGGGCUUUAAUAUCCUUUGUCUUUCAGAACUGCUUCUGGAAGCUCUCCUUUCUUCCUGAAGGGAAAACUCCCGGUGCUGCCUUUCCUAAUUCUGGGAGAACUCUGAACUCUGACACGCUGAGCAGCAGGGGGCGACCCAGCCCCUCCACUUCCUGCACAGAACACCCCCCGAGGUCCUGCACACUCAGGAAGCAGGCGAGCUUGUGUCACAGACAAGCAAACCAUUGGUAACUGACAUCCUCAGGCCUGCUAUGCCAACUCU
rnacentral:lncRNA from 10 species